rnacentral:rRNA from 2 species
CCCUUCUGGUUGAUCCUGCCAGUCAUAUGCUUGUCUUGAGGGUUAAGCCAUGCACGCCUAUGCUCACCCUACACAGAAGGGGAAGCCGCGAACUGCUCAGUAUAUCGGCGAUAAUACACGGGGUGGGCGAUGUUUGUCCGGACACCUGUAGGAAUCCCAGAGCUAAUACGUGCACACGAGUCCUCCUCCUAACGGGGCUUCGCGCUCCGCGGGGAGAGGGCGCAUUUAUUAGGAUCUUGACCGGCGGUGGGCGGUUAACGCCGUCCCACCAGGCUGAGGCGAACUCUGGGUAUGUGACGACCGCUGUUAGCGGCGUGCCCGUUUGCUCGCCGUCCCAUCAAAUUUAGACGGCCCGGGCAAGAGCCCCCCGUGUUGGCUACGGGUGACGGAGGAUCAGGGUUCGAUCCCGGAGAGGGAGCCUGCGAGACGGCUACCACGCUUAAGGGUGGCAGCAGGCGCGCAACUUACCCACUCCCAGCACGGUGAGGUAGUGAAGAUAAAUGUCGGGGCUGGGCUCGCAUGCGAGCCUAGCGGUCGGAUUGAGCGUAGACCAAACACGUGCCGUUGAUGACCUAUCGGAGGGCAAGCCUGGUGCCAGCAGCCGCGGUAAUUCCAGCUCCGAUGGCGUAUGUUGUAGUUGCCGCGUUUAAAACGCUCGUAGUUGGAUCUCUGAGGUGACGGCAGCGACAAACCGCGGGUGACGUUGUCCCGGCGAUUAUGCACCGCCGUGGUUUUGGGGAAGGAGCAAGCGGUGCUCUCUCCCCGUCCUCUCUCCUUUAACCGGGGGAUUGGUGCGGGGAGUAGUGUGUCGCAACCGGACCCUAGCGGCGGAUCUCGCCGGGCAUCGCUUGCCCGUCGCUGCCGGUUUAGUCUCUUUCCGUCCUAAGCCGUGUCGGCUCGGUACGUGGCGUAUCUGGGCCGUGCACAAAGGUACGGGCGGUGUUCUCCCUGAAUCAAUUGGAGUGCUCAAAGCAGGUCGUGCUCGCACAGUUUUGCUCGGAACGAUGUGAUGACGCCACCGUCCCGCAAAUGUUUUACCACACACGGGCCCGGUCUCCGUGGGGACGGUGGGCGAGGUCUAUAGAGACGGCCGGGGGGCGGCGUACUACCGCGGGAGGGGUGGAAUCCGACGAUCGCGGUGGGACGAACAAGAGCGAAGGCACCGGCCAAGAGCGCCUUCGUUGAUCAUGAACGAAAGUCGGAGGAACGAACGCGAUCAGGUACCGCGGUAGUUCCGACAGUAAACCAUGCCGACCGGUUACGCGGGGACGUCCCCAGUGGGGAAGCCUCGCGAGGCCCCGGAGAAAUCAGAGUGCCUGGGCUCCGGGGGGAGUACGGUCGCAAGGCUGAAACUUAAAGGAAUUGACGGAAGGGCACCACCAGGAGUGGAGCCUGCGGCUCAAUUUGACUCAACACGGGGAAGCUUACCAGGUCCGGACACCGCGUGGAUUGACAGACUGAGGCUCUUUCAUGAUUCGGUGAGUGGUGGUGCAUGGCCGUUGCUAGCCCGUGGAGCGAUCCGUCUGGUUCAUUCCGAUAACGGGCGAGACUCUGCCCUGGCGGAUAACAAACGGCGGUCGAGAGGGGUCCGUCUCACGGGUUGGGUCGGUGUCGUUUUCCCCUUCACGGGGGGAGGCGGCCUCGGUCUUCCCACUCAGGGAGAGACGGUGCUCCGGACCGCCGUCGCGCAGGCCGCGUCCUGCAGGGAUUGACCUCGAGCAGUGCGUACGAGAUGGAGCCAUAACAGGUCUGUGAUGCCCUUAGACGUCCUGGGCUGCACGUGUGCUACAGUGGUGGCGCCAGCCGGCGCGGUGUAGACCGUCAGCGUAGGAGUCUUCAUGUCCGGGGUCGGUCUUCCUGCGAGUUGGGCCGUGAACUCGGAAUGCCACGUAGUCACGGGUCAGCAUCCCGUGCCGACUACGUCCCUGCCCUUUGUACACACCGCCCGUCGCUACCUUCGGUGGACGGCGCAGCCAGGGCCCCGGAGUGGCCGGCGAGACGGGGCUUCGUGCUCCUGAAAUCGCAGUCGUCGCGAUGUCGCCCGAACUGCGCUGCCCCGAGAGGGUAAAAGUCGUAACAAGGUUACCGUAGGUGAACCUGCGGAAGGAUC